rnacentral:rRNA from 1 species
UACAGAGGUCUCAAGCGUUGUUCGGAUUCAUUGGGCGUAAAGGGUGCGUAGGCGGCGCGGUAAGUCGGGUGUGAAAUCUCGGAGCUUAACUCCGAAACUGCAUUCGAUACUGCCGUGCUUGAGGACUGGAGAGGAGACUGGAAUUUACGGUGUAGCGGUGAAAUGCGUAGAUAUCUGGAGGAACACCGGUGGCGAAGGCGGCGUUCUGGACUGCAACUGACACUGAGGAACGAAAGCCAGGGUAGCAAACGGG